GGGAAUGAAUGAGGUCUGGUGGCCUCCCCGGCCUUCAAAGCCGCGUGUUUCGGGGUAGCCCCUCGAAAGGUGGGUUCGAUUCCCACGCAUUCCC
rnacentral:tRNA from 1 species